GGAGAUGAAGGUGCUGGACAAGGAAAAAGUGAGGAGGGCAAAGCUAUAUUACCUCAGGGAUAAAAUGAAUGCCCUGAAAAGACAUUAACAAGCUAGCUCAUAUGAAAGUAUACUGGAAUAGGUGUUUGAUCUAUAAUUGCCUGAAGAGAUCUAUCAAAUUCUAGUAAACAUGUAUGUUAGGCCGAUAAGCCGCCCAAUAACCGCCCU
rnacentral:lncRNA from 1 species